rnacentral:rRNA from 1 species
ACGAACGCUGGCGGCAGGCCUAACACAUGCAAGUCGAACGAAGUCUUCGGACUUAGUGGCGCACGGGUGAGUAACACGUGGGAAUAUACCUUACGCUGGGGGAUAACAUCGGGAAACUGAUGCUAAUACCGAAUACGCCCUUCGGGGGAAAGAUUUAUCGGCGAAAGAUUAGCCCGCGUCCGAUUAGCUAGUUGGUGAGGUAAUGGCUCACCAAGGCUCCGAUCGGUAGCUGGUCUGAGAGGAUGACCAGCCACACUGGGACUGAGACACGGCCCAGACUCCUACGGGAGGCAGCAGUGGGGAAUAUUGGACAAUGGGCGCAAGCCUGAUCCAGCCAUGCCGCGUGAGUGAUGAAGGCCUUAGGGUUGUAAAGCUCUUUCACCCACGACGAUGAUGACGGUAGUGGGAGAAGAAGCCCCGGCUAACUUCGUG